GAAGAUGGCUGUGAAACUCAUUAGAAUAACAAUAUAACAAUAUAACUCCUUAUCUAUGUCAGUCAACGUUUAUUCAUAAAUCUGCGUACAGUCGCGUGUGUGUUGUAUUUUUGCCAAAUCCACCAAUAGCAUUUCCAGUUUACCCUAUUGUUCGAGUCUUUCCUAAACCAAUAUUGCUAUUGCUUAGUUGGGCAAAAAUACAAUACGCGCACAUGACGGUGAAGGACCAGACUUACGAAUAAACGUUGACUGACAUAGAUAAUGAGUUAUAUUGUUAUUCUAAUGAGUUUCACAGCCAUCUUC